UCAGCUCUGAUGUCCCCUGCCGCUGCCAUGCCCAAAAGAAAGGCUGAAGGGGAUGCUAAAGGCGACAAAGCCAAGGUGAAGGAUGAGCCACAGAGAAGAUUCGCAAGAUUGUCUGCUAAACCUGCUCCUCCAAAGCCAGAGCCCAAGCCUAAAAAGGCCCCUGCAAAGAAGGGAGAGAAGGUACCCACAGGGAAGAAGGGGAAAGCCUGUGCUGGUAAGGAUGCAAAUAAUCCUGCAGAAAAUGGAGAUGCCAAAACAGACCAGGCACAGAAAGCUGAAGGUGCUGGAGAUGCCAAGUGAUGUGUGUGCGUUUUUGAUAACUGUGUACUUCUGGUGACUGUACAGUUUGAAAUACUAUUUUUUAUCAAGUUUUAUAAAAAUGCAGAAUUUUAUUUUACUUUUGUUUUUUUAAGCUAUGUUGUUAGCACACAGAACACUUCAUUAUUGUGGGGGAAGGACCAUGUGUCACUAACAAAAUAUCUCCCAAGCUGGAUUGAGGACAGAAAACCUUUCCCUGAUAAUUUUGAAAGGCUCCUGUUGGCUCCCAGGAGAGAGAUCCUGGUCUUGACAUAGGUGGCCACCAAGGCACAAAAUGUCUUGUGGUCUGGGAAAACUCUGAAUUCAUUUUUAUAUUCUCUUCCCCCUGUGCCAUCAACAUAGACUUAAUUCCCUUAAAACCAGAGACCUGUUGGAACCUGGCCCCCAAAACUGGUUUUCCAUCUAUUGGGUGAUGUGGACUUUGCAGUGGCUUCAAGUGUUCUCAGAAGAGCGCUGGUUCAUUUUAUAAAAGAUCGUGGAUCUUCAGAUUGAUAAUUCUGCCAUGUUCACUUCCUGAAAGUCAGGGUCAGCUUGUAAAAAGUUGUUAAACAACAUCCUUAAUGUGAAAUGUCCACCCUCACUCUAAGCUACUUCCCCUUUUCAAAGCAUUGAAUGGAGACUUCAUUGGGUUUUAUAGUGGCUUUCUGAUUUUGGUAGUCUAUACAAGAAGGCAAUUUGGAAGUUUUUGUAUUGUUGAUUGUCUGCCCAUGUCCUGCCUGAAAUACCAUGAUUAUUUAUGAAAAGUAUCUUUAAUAAAGCUGGUUACAGUUA